ensembl:lncRNA
UUUUUUUUUUUUUUUUAAUUUUCCAUUAUGGGCAGCAAUUUCCCAGUUGCUUUUUCUGCGUCUUGCAGCAGAGAAGGAUGGGGGACUGCAGAACCAGCACUUAGGAUUUAUGCUGAAAUAUUUAUUAGCACAAGAAGCAAGGCACCACAAUGUUCUGGCUCUGUGUCACACUCGAUUCACCCAUGCAGGUACAACCUGUGGGCAGCUGUUACACCCAGGGAACAAAUCAGUCAAAGAAUUGAGGAGCACUAAUGCAAAGCAGCCCCUGCCAGUGGCGUGCACAGCUCCUAAAGAGGCUGACUGGCACAUUUUUUGCCUUGUUCUCUGCAUUUUUUUGCUCUGUUUCGUGGGCUGAGCAAUUUGCAGGGCAGGAAUUCGAUGUGGCUACAUGUCACUACAGGUUUUGGAGGUGCUCAUUUUAUUUAUGUGUAUUUUUGGGUAAUGCUGGUGUUUCCGAGGAGCUUUUUCAUUUCAUUUGUUCCCUUACAAAUUCAUAUGAAUUAAGCAAUUAUAUAAGUUACUAUUUUGACCAGAGGGAGAAAGGAACCUGGUAGGACAGAACAGUACAGAAAACCAGGGCUUAGAAGUGGCCUCAGGCAUAUAAAGGUCUUAACCCCUUUAAAUGGUCUCAUAACUCUUCCUGCAGUGACAGUGGCAUCCACAGUUGCAAUAUCAAAUACACUGGAAAAAGAAAUUCAAGUGCUUCAAAUCCUCCUUGCUCCCUCUUGUCAGUCAUGGCUCAUUUUCAGGAUUAUUGAGAGAAAAAAAUAAAUUAUUCUGUCCUGUGCUUUUUUUCCUCACAAAGCUGCUGCAUUGUGGGGCUUGUAGGAGAGCUCACUCGACAGCGCAGCAGGCAGAGGCAAAAUCUGACUUUAUUAAGAUGAAAUCAUUGUCUGUAGGCAAAGCAAAGCCAUGUGAUAUCUCCAUCAGCGAGGCUUUCAUAUGCAGCUACUCAAAACCCUGGAAUAAAUGGAGCUGAUUGAGGUGAGCCAGAGGCAAUUCAGCCACCAGAGCCAAGCAAGGGGAGGAUCAGAGAAUGGAGCUCCCUCGUUAGCAGGGAGCUUCUCCAGCUGCCAGGGGGAAAUGAGGAGAUCCAGAACUGGAAAGUGCUUUCUGGUGUCCACAGGUCCAGCUCCCAGCUGGAAUGUCCCAGCCUCGGGAGCUGAAAGCAGCUGAGGGGUAGUCAGAGAGCCCCAGGAGCUCUCAGUGAGGGACAGUGUCCCCAGGAGGUGACUGGCAGCUCAGCAGAGCAGAUGAGACACUACAAAAAUAAAAAUGGAGACAAAGAGGGAUGCAGGGACAGCAGCUCAUCAUUAUUCUCCUGUGAAAUGUCUCUGCUCCAGCUCCAAUUAGCCAGGAGAGGAGCAGAUUGCCAUUUCAUUUCAGACCUCCAGCCUGGGGGACAGAGCUGGGCCAAUGUUUAAGCAAGGCAAAGAAUAUGAGAAAGGGAAAGAGCAUCUCUGUGGCACACCUGCAGGUCGUGCAGAUUAAUCUCUCUGUGCCUCCCAGCUCUUCCAUUCAAAUAUCAUGGAAUUAAUGAAUAUCCUGAGUUGGAAAGGCUCCACAAGGAUCAUCCAGUGCAGCUCCUGGCCCUGCACAGACACCCCAGCAAUCCCACCCUGGGAAUGUUCUCCAAACCCUCCUGGAGCUCUGGCAGCCUCGGGGUUGUGCCCAUUCCCUGGGGAGCCUUGGCAAUGCCAGCACCCUCUGGGGAAGAACCUUUUCCUGGAGAAAGAAGAAAGUCCCUCCCUGUGGGAAUGUUGGUGGAUGGAAAUGCUUUGGCAGUGAAAUAACUUUUAGAGGCUCCAGCUCUGAGAGAGGUAAAGCCACUGGUGACCCUCACACAGCAUGUGCUGAACUCGUUAUAAGCUGUCCGUGGGCUUCAGAACUCCAGCUUUGGGCCCCCAAAAAUCUCCAAAACCGAUCCUGAAAACUGAGCUCCAAAUUACCCCUAAUACACAGUUCUUGGGGAAGAUCUUUGGACGAAUGCAACCAGCAAAGCAGCAUUUUGUAAUAUCUGCUGCAGAUCAUAAUGAAUUCACUGUCAGGCCUCCUCUCCACUAAUCCUUCCUGUCCCAGACCAGCAUAAUCCAGUCUAACAGCUCUUUUUCUGGACACAUGAAGCCCUUUUUAGCUGUGGUUAUCUUCACAUUACCAGAUAAUAUUGGCUGAGCCCCUCUUUUCUUCCCAUAUCCAAGAUUUUGUCACUCAAUGUAGAGAGCUGGAGUCCAAUGUGUAAUUCCCAGUGUCCCUUGUGUGCCCUUUCUGGGACAGUUUCCAAGCUGCAGCAAUUCCAGGAUUUACCAUGUCCAGUGAGAAAAGGAAUCCAGGCUCAGAAAUGGGGCAUUUCCAGGAUCUCUCUGCUGAGGUGGUGACUGUGUGUGCCAAAGAGCCACAUCCCCCAUCAUGGCAAAAAUAAUUGCAACAAUGAGUGGAAUAAAUCAAGUAUUUAAUUAUUUCUUUGAUGGAAAAGGUCUUUAGAAGCUGGUGGUGACAAUCCAUUCCAAUCCAGGGAUGGGCAUUUGUGGAAAGCACCAGGAAAACCAGCAAAACCACGGUUAAAGAAAUGCCAUUUUUAAUUGCUAUGGAAGAUGGAGGCCAAAUGAUAUAAAUAUAAGAUGACAGGACAAUAAACAACAGAAUGAGAACCAUGAAGUCAUGAGGCAAAAUAUCCUGGCCAACAUCACUGCAAAACCAGUUUUAGAUUGAUAACCAGGAUAUUUUUAUAUUACAGCUAUGGGCUGUCAUUUGCAGCUCAUGAUUUUUUUGAUUGGAUUGAUGGGGACACGCUAAAAGAAUUGUUGGUAUUUUAUGUUCUUUUAGAGAAUUGAAAAGGCAGUUUAUGGAUUAGUUUGAAAUAAAAAACUUAUGGCAGAUGAGUUCAGCUACUCAUCAGCUCCAUACACUCAAUUAUAAUGCCCACAGUGAGUUGUGUUUUAUAAUUUCCCCAAUACAUCAGAAUUGGUUGAUUUCCCUUCGUUUUCAGUGCUAAUUUUGAGCCUUUAUUGGAUUAUUGCACAAAUCAAAGCACACAAACCCCACUUUGUGUAUGAUUUUAUCCUCGCUGAAGAUUUUAACAUUGAUUGGAAAAACUACAUUUUUUCUUCAGCAUUAAAUGCUUUUAAAAAUUUGAUAAAAAAAUCUGUCAACUGUCAACUGCAUUAUCUAAUCCAUAUAUUGGGUAAAGAACAUCUGUGCAUGUUUUCAACCAGAAAAAAAAAAAGUUCAUUUUCCCCUUAUUUUCUAAUAUUUCCAUUAAAACUGUGCAGGGGAUUGAGAGGCUCCUCUGGGAUUUAGGUGUUUUAAUUUGGAAAUGAGCUUUCUUUAUGAUGAGGGAUAAGAAUAAAAAGCAGGUUUGUGGGGUGGGGAAGGAGAAGUCUCUGCAAAUUGUUGUGUCAGCUGGGUAGAAAUCUUGCAAGGAGCUUUGCCGUGCUGCUAAUGAUCUUUUUGGGGAGCUGCAACAGAAAGGAACAGGAAGUUAUUUGAUCCAACUGAGAGUAUUUUAGAAUAGGUGCUGGUAUAACAAUGGGCAGGAAAAUAGAUUGAUCAGGGAACAAGAGGAUAAUUGGCAAAAAUCACUCAGGCAACUGAUCCCUUCAGGGAGAUGGAAUUCAAGACUUCUGGAGUUGUGCAGCUAUUUCUAUGUCAAAAGCUGUAAUUUCCCUUGAAAAGGAGUGACAGCUUCUCUGACUAAGCCCACUUGAUUUUGAUUUCCUCCACUGACACUCCUCAUCCAUUGGCCUUUUGUAUUCAUUUUUCAUCAGUGAGGGCUUCUUCCUUAAUUAGACCCAAUAUUUCGGAAAAAAGCAAACCUGUUUCUCCAUUUCUCCAUGUUAGGAUUAGAGUUUUAGCUUUAAAAAUUAAGUUUUUCUGCAAGAUGGCAUUUCAGCAAAUAUUUCUGAGAAGGUGAAGCUGUUAAAUAACUCUUCCACUCAUUCUGGAGUAAGAUCUCCAGUAGCAAAGAUGUUGCAAAGAAGAUGCUUGGAUAAACUUGUCUUUUUAGCUGGGUUUCUGUUGAACAGCCCUAAAUCUUCUUUUUCCAGCCCUUUUUAGAACACAGGAAUCACAGGGCUGUCAGGGAGACUUUAAGUUCAAACACAAUGUGAAUCUUUGUGGAUGCAGCAGAACCUAAGGAAAGGGGACGUGUCCAACUAAGAAUUUCUUCAGAGGGAGCAAAGGGUGAGGAAAGAUCUCAGUGAUAAACAGGCAGAUGUGGUGGAACAAUGCCAGACAGGAAUUCCAUCAAUAUUAGAAAGGUGGUGCCUGUAGGACACACGAAGUACGAGCAGAUGGAGGAUGCCUCAGAUCAUGGCAGCCCUUGAAAUCAAAUCACAGAAUCAUGGGAUGGCUUGGUGUGGGAAUCCAGAGCUUCCCCCUGGCUGCCCUGGCAGGUCUGGGACCCUGGCAGGGCUCAGGAACCCCCCUGGACAGAGCCCCCAGAGACACUGGCUGUCAUCUCUGUCCAUGGAGAGGAGUUUUCAAUCUUACAGGAUUAAUUACAAUCUCUGAGUGUUUGAUAUAAGUAAUAAUUAAGUGUGGCACAGGUACAAAAGUAAAAUUUUAGGAUUCUAGAUUAGGGGUCCAAAGGGGACAAGAUGGAGGAAAUUGGGUGUGUCUUGUCCUUUUUCUCCUUCUUCAUGCCCUCCAUGUUUCACUGCGGUGUUGGCAUUUUUCUGUUGGUUCAGGCUGGGGACACACUGUCCAACGUAGGUGACAGAUAUUGGCACGUUAUUGUAAAUCCAGCACAGGUAGUUUGUGGUAUUUAAUGUUUGUACCAUCCCACUGAGGGCAGAGCCCCACACGCUGCCCUGCAGGACAGAGCUGCGGCAGGGCAGCAGAACAUGUUAGAGAUAAACAGAAUAAACAACCUUGAAACCAGCACAGACCAAUUAUGGCUUCUGCUUUGGCAGGGGACUGACAGACAGAGACUUUCUACAAUCUCCGAAUCAUCAAUACCUCAGAUUCCAACAGUUUGGGUUGGAAGGGACCUUCCAAGGUCAUCCAGUGCCGUGGGACAUCUUCAACUAGACCAGGCUGUUCCAAUUCCCACCCAGCCUGACCUUGAAUAUUUCCAGGGAUGAAGUAUCUACCACCUCUUUGGGCAGCUUGUGCCUGAGUUUUACCACCCUCAUCUGUCUUAAAUCCAGACUGGCUCUACCCUCUCCUAGUUUAAAACCAUCACCUCUUGUCUAUCACAACAGGCCCUACAAGCUUCUUGGGUAGAAGAUUAAAGAAUAGUUCACUGUUUAAAAAAAAAUAUUGAAGUCUAAAUUCUAUUUGUCUAAACUAUGAGCUUGCUAUUUUUUGGCUAAUUUUGCUUUAUACCUCUGCAAGAUUAAUUUGUCCACAAAGUGGAGAGAGAAGCCAUGUGGCUUUUCAGAUGCUGAUAAUCUAUUUAUUUGUCAC